AAUCGGUCAAAAGGUUUCCAUAAGCUGGAACCGCUUGCGGAAGGAUCAUUAAAGAGUAAGGGGUCUCAGCGCCCGACCUCCAACCCUUUGUUGUUAAAACUACCUUGUUGCUUUGGCGGGACCGCUCGGUCUCGAGCCCGCUGGGGAUUCGUCCCAGGCGAGCGCCCGCCAGAGUUAAACCAAACUCUUGUUAUUUAACCAGUCGUCUGAGUUAAAAUUUUUGAAUAAAUCAAAA
rnacentral:misc_RNA from 1 species